UACAGAGGGUGCGAGCGUUGUUCGGAAUUACUGGGCGUAAAGCGCGCGCAGGCGGCUUCUUAAGUCCAUCGGUGAAAUGCCGGGGCUCAACCCCGAGUGUGCCGAGGAUACUGGGAGGCUGGAGACGGAGUAGAGGGCAAAGCGGAAUUCCGGGUGUAGCGGUGGAAUGCGUAGAGAUCCGGAAGAACACCGGAGGCGAAGGCGGCUUGCUGGGCUUGGUCUGACGGCUGAGGCGCGAAAGCGUGGGGAGCGAACAGG
rnacentral:rRNA from 1 species